UGGGGAAAACGUAGUGAAAGCGAGGCUUAAUCGCCGAAAAUAAGUCGCAUGGAUUAGACCCGAAGC
rnacentral:rRNA from 1 species